CUGUGCAUCUUAAAGGUGACUGUAGAGCGCCAUCUAGUGAGACAAGUGGUGUAUUGAUACUGCACACGUAAAAAGAUUUAAAGUGAGAAUUCUUCCAAUUCUAGACACUCGGUUGUAAAAAUGUUUCCAUUUUGAAGUUUAACACGAAGGUCUAUGAGGAUUGGCUCACUGUUGGAGCCAGCCCUCGAGUGGUCAGUGUAGGAACUGCAGGUCUUUGGCAAUAAAGUACACAGACGUCAUGAUGUGUCACGCUGCUUUUUCCUCCUUUCAUUCUUCAGAGGUUGCACCUUGGUCCUGACGCACAGCAACAUGGCGGACGGGAGCUAGCAUGCUAACGAGUCCGGCCUCAGACAUCACGCUGGGCAUGCACUGUAUUCAUAUGACCACAGGGGGCGCCUGUACAAUACAGAGACUGAUAUAGUCAAGGCAUUCUGCCUCAGACAUGCGGGGUUUCCUGUCAGUCACUCUGAUAUCUGCCGUCUCAUCGUUUAUUUUCGUCACUGAUUGAGAAAACAGAUUAAAAAAGGAUGUGUUGACUCUGUGGUCAAACUGUGACACACCAGCAUCAGUUCCUCUGAAGAGCCUCAGAGUUCUGUCGGUAGCCUCAGAGAGCUGAUGCAGGCUGGCCGCUGAGGUCCUCACAGAAACUCAGCAACAUGAGGGCGGACAUCUUCUGCCUCCUGUUGGCCUGCGCCGUGGGCCGGAGCGCCGCUGCAGACGUCCUGACUGUUGGAGAGAAGCAGGCGGUGACGCUUCGCUGCCCCCUACCUGUGAAGAACAGCGUGACGUGGAGCAGAGAGCGUGGAGCAGUCAAAGAGAACAUACUGACAGUUCAUCUUGAAAGAGACGUGAAACACAUCAGUGAUCCACACAGACGAUACAGCUCUCAGGCUGAUAACUCCCUGUUCAUUCUCAGAACUGAGGUCUCAGACUCUGGAACUUAUUUCUGUAACGACACAGCAGCUGUGACCCUGACAGUGACAUCACCAUCAGGUCUGUUAACACACUCUUCGAUCUACCUUCUCAUGACAACACUAACCAAGAGUGAUGGUGUGUGUCCCUUUCUGUGCACAGGACAAACUGCUGCACCCCCAACAACCACAAGGACACACAACCACAGCACAACACCCAGAGAGGAGGACGGGGACACUGUAAAAUGUAAUUGUAACAUUACUUAAAAAUAUGGAGUGGUCCUAACUCAUAUGUGCUGACUGUUGAUUCUACUGAGUUACAUUUAGUUCAUAAAACAUUCUAAUGUAUCAGCCUCGAGUAACUUUAACUAAAACACUGUGAGCGAUGGAGACCGAUCCACAAGACACACGUCACCAUCAGUGAGGAGGGCCUUUUUAUGUAAUCUGAACUGAUCUUUUAUAGUACACCAAACUAAUUACUUUGACUUAACUAUACUAGUUCACUGUCGUGGC
rnacentral:lncRNA from 1 species